rnacentral:tRNA from 1 species
AGUUUAGUUAGUUUCAUAAAAAAUAUGGUUUUUGUAAUACCAAGUAAUCUGUGA